UACUGUAUUUACUGAUGUCAGCCAUCUUGGUUGGUAGGCGGGGUCAUUAGACACUUUUUUAAAAUAGAUACCCUAGUAAUGAUUGUGGCCAAGUUUGGUUAAAUUUGGCCCAUAGUUUUAGAAAAAAGAUUUUUGUACAAGUUACAAAAAUAACGAAAAGUUGUUCAAUAUUGACUAUAAAGGACAAUAACUCCUUAAGGGGUUCUCUGACAAUUUUGAUCAUGUUGACUUAUUUGUAGAUCUUACUUUGCUGAACAUUAUUGCUGUUUACAGUUUAUCUCUAUCUAUAAUAGUAUUCAAGAUAAUAACCAACCAGAUGCUCCGUAGGGCGUAGCUUUAUACGACCGCAGAGGUUGAACCCUGAACGGUUGGGGCAAGUAUGGACACAACAUUCAAGCUGGAUUCAGCUCUAAAUUUGGAUUGUGAUUAAAUAGUUG
rnacentral:lncRNA from 1 species